rnacentral:rRNA from 1 species
GCCAUGGUUUGCGGGAUUAGUUUGAUCCUGGCUCAGAACGAACGCUGGCGGCGUGCCUAACACAUGCAAGUCGAGCGCGAAAAGGGCAACCUGAGUAGAGCGGCGCACGGGUGCGUAACACGUGGGUAAUCUGCCUUUGGGUCGAGGAUAACCUUCCGAAAGGUUGGCUAAUACUCGGUAAGCUUACGGGGACUUUGGUCCUUGUGAGAAAAGUAGACCUCUAUUUAUAAGUUUACGCCCAGAGAUGAGCCCGCGGCCCAUCAGCUAGUUGGCGGGGUAACGGCCCACCAAGGCAACGACGGGUAGCUGGUCUGAGAGGACGAUCAGCCACACUGGAACUGAGACACGGUCCAGACUCCUACGGGAGGCAGCAGUGGGGAAUUUUCCACAAUGGGCGAAAGCCUGAUGGAGCAACGCCGCGUGUGUGAUGAAGGUCUUCGGAUCGUAAAGCACUUUCGACUGGGACGAAAAACCUUUGGCUAACAUCCAGGGGCCUGACGGUACCAGGAGAAGAAGCACCGGCUAACUCUGUGCCAGCAGCCGCGGUAAUACAGAGGGUGCAAGCGUUACUCGGAAUCACUGGGCGUAAAGAGCAUGUAGGCGGAUUAAUAAGUUUGAAGUGAAAUCCUAUAGCUUAACUAUAGAACUGCUUUGAAAACUGUUAAUCUAGAAUGUGGGAGAGGUAGAUGGAAUUUCUGGUGUAGGGGUAAAAUCCGUAGAGAUCAGAAGGAAUACCGAUUGCGAAGGCGAUCUACUGGAACAUUAUUGACGCUGAGAUGCGAAAGCGUGGGGAGCAAACAGGAUUAGAUACCCUGGUAGUCC